GCGCCGUUUCGAGGAGGACCUCGUCGACGCUUAUGACGAAGAGCUCGAGAUGGAGCUCGACGACCGCCGCUUCGACGACGGCGACGACCUGC
rnacentral:tRNA from 1 species